GUCACAUUUAUACAAAAUUCAGUGUUGAUAGGUACUGCUAACGUACAGAUAACAGAGCCUCUAGAGCUAAAUUUUGCAGCUGAAUGCAGCUUCAUUUAUCUUAUUUUAAUGGCCCCAUUCAUUUUGCACAGGAAAACAUUUCUGUUUGGUUUUUCUCACCAUGGCUGGGGUGUGAGAUGCAAGCAUAGAAGGGUCGGAAGCAGAAGGACUGGGAGAGAGUCCUCAUGGAUAGCGGCAGAAGAAACACUCUAAAAUGGCUUGGGGCCACUCUCCCGGAAGGAUGUCUUGUAAGAAAGCCCCUCUCUUCUUUUUCUUUUCUUUUUUCUUAGAUAUUUUCUUUAUUUACAUUUCAGAUGCUAUCCCGAACGAGUCCCUUUGAUGGGUCUGGUGCCUCAAGUGCAGGGAGCCAGAGAAGCCUUUGUCCAAAGUCCAUACUGGGGGACUGGGAAUACAAUCACCUCUGAUGGCUGAGCCAGUCUCCCCCAGACUGUUGAGAACUAUUAGAAAGAUGACUCCCACCAAGCCAGCAAAUCUUGCAUCUCUGACAACCGGGCUAUGCUCAAACUGAGAAAUAGCAUCGGGAGUUCACGCAUCCACGGUAGCCUUUGUCCUGGUACCAUUUAAAUCUCUGGGCAUGAGAGGUUCUUUCCAAUGCCAGCAGGUCAGACUGCCCUCAUGAACAAUGAUGGUUAAGUCUUGGAACGCUCUUCCCUCUUCUAACUCCCCAGUUAUACAUUUCCCUCCCUGUGUCCAGUCACUGAAGCUGAAACGGUCUCCUUUUGUGGGACACAGCGCCUUCUUCUAAAAUGAGCCACAAUCAUUGGCUCUCCCCGCUUCCUCCCUGCUCAGAUGGAAAAGCCUUUAAACUGAGUCCCCGGUGGUUUUCCUUUCUCCUGGAAACUUUCAUCAUCGAAUUGGGAAAGGAUUCAGAAGCAAGAGACAGUGGAAAGCAGCUUUAUGCAAAGAGGGAGAAGUAAGCAGAGGAGGUACGGUGAAUCUGCAAAGAAGGGAGAGAAGGCACGUGAAAAAUCCGAUUUCUCCUGUGGUUCUCUGGUUUGGUGGGAAAGAAGAUUCAAGAGCUCAGCUAAGGUCCAGCUUGGGAUGAGGUCAUUUUGACGGCUUUCCUUCGCCUUGAUGCUAACCUGGUGGCGGGUUGACUGACAGUAUUGGUCUACGGACAGAGUUCUUGCUGCAUUGUUAAGUGUGGUGUGAGGAAACACUGAACAGGUAGAGAAAGAGAAGAAAUAUCUUUUCACAAAAAGACUGGUCCAGUCGCCAAAUAAUAUUAAUCCACAAGCUAAGAACAGUUUUCCUACCCAAACCAAUGAGAGAGAUAAUAAUUGCAUUUUAGCUUAUUUGUGUCUGUCUGUCUGUCUGUCUGUCUGUCUGUGUAUAUAGAGGACAGAAGUCAGCUUCAUGUAUUGUUCCUCAGACACCAUCCACCAUCUUUUUAAAGACAAUGUCUCUCACUGGGACCUGGAAUUUGACAAAUAGUCCAGGCUGUCUUGGCAUCCAGCCCCAGAGAUUCACUGUGUCAAUUCCUCCCCACUGCUGGGUUUGCAGACACAGGACUUCUCAUCAUAUUUUCACAUGUGUUUGCUGGAGAUCAACCUUAGGUCCUCCAAUACUUUAUAAACUAAGCUAUCUCUGUAUCCAAAGUUACUGAUCACGUCCAUCAUCAUUAUCAUCAUCAUCACCAACAACAACAACAACAUCACCACCACCACCAUCACCACCAUCACUAUCAUCACCAUCAUCGUCUAAGAAUGGAGUCUCAUUGUUGGCUUGGUGUUAGAAGGGAACCCUGACUCCCAGCUGAAAGAUGUCUGCCAAUUGAAUCUCAUCUCACCAGACAACAAAAGCAACAUGUAAGUCAAGAUCAGUUAGAGGUUGUCUUUGUCAGGGUUUCUAUUCCUGCAUAAACAUCAUGACCAAGAAGCAAGUUGGGGAGGAAAGGGUUUAUUCGGCUUACACUUCCAUACUGCUGUUCAUCACUGAAGGAAGUCAAGACUGGAACUCAAGCAGGUCAGGAAGCAGGAGCUGAUACAGAAGCCAUCGAGGGAUGUUCUUUACUAGCUUGCCUCCCCUGACUUGCUCAACCUGAUCUCUUAUAGAACCAAGACUACCAGCCCAGAGAUGGCACCACCCACAAGGGGCCUUUCCCCCUUGAUCACUAACUGAGAAAAUGCCUUACAGUUGGAUCUCAUGGAGGCAUUUCCUCAACUGAAGCUCCUUUCUCUGUGAUAACUCCAGCUGUGUCAAGUUAACACAAAACUAGCCAGUACAGAGGUUUUAUUUCUUUCUACUAGUAACUUGUGACGUGCUUUUCUUUUAGCGUCAAAAUCCAAAUAUCUCUCACCACUUAAUUUAUUGUCACACCUCCAAAGCCCAUUUAGAGGCAAAGUCACCUUUAACCUUAACAGCAAGAAUGAUGCAAAGUAGGUAAGCAAGCAACAUUCCUUGGGGCUCAAGUAUUUUCAAGUGCUUUUUAAAACAGCUCCUUAGUGUCUGGUUCCAAUAAUAAACGCAGAGCCAACUU